GUAAGGGUUUUUUAAAUAGUUUAAAAAAUAAACUUUAACUUGAAAUUCUGAAAAAACAAAUGCCGUACAGAAGCAGUUUUCAUUCAAAUAAUUUCCUACUGAUUUUUAACCCCUGGGAGCCCUCUAGUGUCCUGUUUGGAAAUAGACUCAGAAAUCUCAGUCUCAUGAAGUUAAAAAGGACUGAGAGCGUUUGCUUAGCAGCCGCCGAAUAAAUACCUAAUAAAAUGAGGAAACCCAUCCCCCCGCGGGCCAUCCCACGGACCUGGGGCUUAGAGCCCUAGGCUUUCCAGGGACUACUACUCACCUUACCUUCUGGACCGUUCACAAAGUGGCAUUUGUCUCCCGCCACUUCUAAGAAGAAAAGGCCUAGAAGUUCAUAAAAAGGAGUGCCAUUGGCUGCUUCUGUGGGCUCCAGCUCACCCACCUCCUGAGAGCCAUUUGGAAAGAGAAGAGGACUAUGUAAGGACUCCAGUCACUGAAAAGUUAAGUACUGAGCUUUUCCUUGCUGUUGUUGACCCAUGCUUGUUAUGUAGAUCACAGACCUACAGAUGGACACUUUGGUCCUGGCUCUGUGCUGACCAUACCCUCCCCUGGGUCCCUAACCCUUGCUCACCACCCUCCUUCCCUCUAGGAACCAUAGCCUUUCUGGAACUAUAAUCCUGGCUUUACCCUAGGGUCUUGGGUACAACCUCUGUCCUGCUUGUCAUACGGAAUUUGCUGAUACUUUUACUAUCUACUCUAACACCAGGCCUGGGCAGUCUCAAACAGGCCUGUCCUGCCACUGAAAAACUCUUAGCCUUAUAAUCUUUGAGAGUUUGUCAUAAAAGUGUUUAAUUGAUACCAAGAAGUUUGUAGUUCCUUAAAUAGUGCUCUAUAGUAUGUCUUUAAAACUGUAUGCAAGUUAACAGUUAUUGUAUUAUGUUUUAUAGAAAUGUGUGCACUUCUACCUGACACUUGAGUACUCACUCCUAAGGACAUCUUUCCUGUUGACCUUUACCAUCACAUCUACUUGUGGAGGAGAAGCACUUUAAAGGAAAACCACCUGUCUCCUCAAGGCUAGCCUCACAAAUCUAUGAAGUGACACUGAGUGCCACAGCUCAAUCUCUCACGUGUGACCAAGAGAGCACCAGGGAGGCGUAUUUCCAGGGGAUGAAGUGCCUGGCAUUUCAUCACGUUGGGUAUUCUCCCCUCUAUCUACUAUGAUAGCUGGCAAAGAGUAGCAUGAGCCCCCUGCCUUUUCCCAGUAAGGAAAUCUCCUACAAGAAUCCAUUUAACCUCAUUUCCUCAGAAAUGUUUGUUCCAUUUAUUUAAAGUUUUGUUUGUGUUAUGAUGGUUCUGCCACAUGACCAGAAACUGAGCACUGUUUGCAUAGACGGACCAUAAUACAGGAAACAGAUAAAAUGUGUGAUAGCCAAUUUGACAUAUAUUUGAAAUAACAGAUAUUUAUAUGGUUGUUAUUUCACUUCUGGAUAAUUAGAUGAUUUAUGCAUGUUAUAAUGAUCAGCAUUGUUUUAUAGUUCUAAAACCCAAGCAUGCACGGAGUCAUCAUGGAGCAAGAGAAGAAUUUAGAAAUCACCAACACUUUGGUUAAGAAUGCACAUUAUUUUGCAGUUCUUUGGGGAGCGAAGACAACCUUGACUGAGGCAACAGAAAACCUGAAAACCCAACUCAAGCUUCCACAAAAAGCCAUUUUGUUGGCUAGGGUCACUCAAACAUCCAGAGGUAGAGUAGACCUCAGUGCGCUUCAGUCACGUCCAGCUAUGUUUCUUUGUGAUUCUCUUAGCGGUACCCUGUCCAAUGGCUGACUUUCCUCCUGACCUCAACGUGUCUUCCUAAAGCAAUGGACCCUACAAGAUCACUCUUUCAUGUCUAGGUAUAAUGUUGACUCACCCUGUGAAUCCACUGACUAGAAACGCUGUUGAAGAAAAAUCACAUACUUAUGCCAAAAAGCAAGAAGACAGAAGCAGAUUUACUGAGAGACUGAGCAUGAACAGAACUGCUCCAAGACCCAGAAGACAUCACAGUGAGGAGAGACUUCCUCUGAGAUUCUUAUAGAAUCCAACAGUGCUCUGCUCCCUCGGGGAGCUGCAGCUAUGGGAACAUGGGUAUGGUGCCAUAUACCCAUCAGUCAUAGCAACAGGAGAGCUUCUUCAGACUACUUUGAUGGUAGUGACGUUAGCCUGAGGAAGCCAGAACCAGAAAGGAAGAAUAUGAAGAUGUCACACUGGGAGUGUGGGCACCUGUGAGGCCUCCCUUUGGAGACCGGCAGACAUAAUUGCAAGACACUUGCAUGCUGAGGUCUUGUAAACAUACUGCUGGAGGCAUUGUAAUUCGGGCAUUAAUAAUAAAAGAGGUCUAAUUUAUAUA
rnacentral:lncRNA from 1 species